AUGUUCAGUGGCCAUAUUCCGGACAAUCUCACUUCCCUUGCCCGUCUUCAUUAUUUGGACAUAUCAGGCAACAAUUUAACAGGAAGCAUACCAUGGUCACUCUCAAACUUGAAGGCAAUGAUGACCAUAAUAUCCAAGGACACUACAGAGGAUUACAACUUUGAAGAGAGCAUUCCAGUAAUCACGAAAGACCAAAAGCGUGACUAUAGCUUCCAAAUCUACAAGCUAUUGGUGAAUCUUGAUUUGUCCAGUAACAGUUUAACAGGACAAAUCCCAGAGGAGAUAAGUUUACUGAUUGCCCUCACCAAUUUGAAUAUAUCGAGCAAUCAGUUGAUAGGAACAAUCCCAAAUCAGAUUGGUGAUUUAAAGCAUUUGGAAUCCGUGGACCUAUCAUACAACAAAUUUUCUGGUGCAAUCCCAUCAGCUCGACAGAGCACGGAUGACCCGCCACCGCUACGCCCACCAAAGACAAACCACUACAACCCGAGGCUCCGGACCACCGCGUACAAAACAGCACCUCCAAGAAGGAAAGCGACGCCGACGACGCUGCUGCCCGGACAUGUCCUAGGGUUUCCCUGGCACGCGGAGGGAGGUGUCACCGCAUCGGGGCCGAAGACCGCUAAGGAUUUCUCCCGUACUCCAAUCCCCGCCGCCCAACGGACCGGAGCCGACCAGCCAGACCGCCGCCCACCACCAUGCGUCAUCGCGGUUGCGCCGUCACCCACGCCGCCUCACUGCAAACACCAACACGAGGCCAAGAGGACCGGAGAGAAGCGCCCCGCGGAGGGAGAAGCAGCACGGAAACCGAACGGGAGGGAACCACCUCCACCGCCGUCGUGCGGGAGGCCAGAGCCUCCGGCACCGUCGCGGCCCGAAACGGGCCCGCUAAGCCCCGCCGCCACGCUGCAGCAAGCCGGCGAUGGUGCCGCCAAUACCCUGCCGCUCAUCGCCUCUCCCCCGCCUCCCGGAAGCCACGAAGCAGACCCACACCGCCGCCGGCCCUCCCAGGCCCAGAUGGGGCCCGAAGGGCCCAGAUCUGGGCCGAGCGGGCGCCGCCAGAUCGCGCCGCCGCGAGCCCCCGCCGCCGCGCUGGACCGCCGUCGCCUGGGAGCACCGCCCGGGGUUGCCCCGUCCUGCGCCGGCGGACACACGAGAGGGGAAAAGCCAGGGGGCCGCCGCCACCAGCGUCGCCCGGGCCAGGCCCGCAGCGGGCGCCGGCGCCGGCAGCAGAGAGGAAGAGGGAGGGAGAGGCGCGCGGGGGGAAGGCUGGGCGCGGCCGGCCGCCCGCAGGGGCGGCUCGGUCGCGAGAGAGGAAAAGUCCAAGUCGGACGCAAGCAAAUUGUUUGGGUACUUAACCCCCUAGACUAUUAUAAACCGGACAAAUCACCGCCCAGCCUCCACUUUAGCGGUAUGGGACGGUGGUUUUGCAUACGUGGCGCAUGGGUUGGGCCCAUCGUCCGCCCACGUCGGACAGAGGCUGCUGGUGUGACUAAAACGAUGCUCCCGAGCCUGUUCGACCCAAACCCAUUGAAAACAUUUGAAGGUUGUUCCGGCGGCAUAGAUGCAAUAAAGCGAGGUGGAUCGGGGGCAGGAGCUGUCACCGGCCAGUCUGUUGAUGGUUCUGUUAAUUGGAGCAUCAUGGAAUCAACCCAUAAUCUCAAGGAAAACACAUCACAGAUCGAUGAAUUAAUCCUUGCCAUUUCACUGAAUCUGCAGUGCAAAGACCACGGCUACACCCAGAUCGACAACACAUCUUCUCUGCCAUUGGUCACAUCCAUCUAUCUGAGAGGUUGGUGGCACAUCCAUCUAUCUGAGAGGUUGGUGAGGCAGUUCAAUUUGCCUCUCUCUUUACAAUUUUACACCAUCGCCGGAGGCAACGCCCAGGAGGAGGGUCUAAGCUUCCGCUCCUGGAGGAGAUACAUCUUCUCUGGUGUUGACCCCCACGUCUUCUCGGCCGUCGGUGUCGUCCAUCCAUCUCAGAGGUUGGAGCCCGCGCAUGGGCUUGGUCUUGGCGGAGAGGCGGACGGCCUCGAGCAGGCGGAGCGCGUCGGUGGAGAAGGUGCCCCACCCGGCUGCGUACACGGCGUAGAGCGGGACCCGACGUUGACGAUGGCGCCCCUCCCCUUGCCCGCCGUCGCUGGCAUGACGGCGCGCGAGAUCCGCGUGGCCGCCUCCACGUUCACCCGCACCACGGCCUCCCACACCGGGGUCUCCACCCUCGCCGCGCCCAGGGACAGCUCCGUUGCGUCACCGGGGAGGUCGAACACCAUGCUCUUGACUAUGCAGGACGGCGCGCUUGGGGAUGGAAACGGCUCGGACGGGUGGUGCCCGCCGCAAGCGCGAGCGCAUCUCGCGCCGGCACCACCGCUCCUCCUUGGUUUCGGUGGGGAGCGAGCGCAUGGCGGCGAGGGAGGAGGUGCGCACCAGCCGGAGCUUGGCAUGGCGAGGGCGCGCGGCUGCGGGACGGCGGCGCGGUGGCUCGACGCAGCCCCGCGGCCGCAGAAGCGACGCUGCGGGCCGGGACGCGGGCGGAGCUGGCACGAGAGGCGACGCUGCGGGCCGGGACACUGGCGAAGCUGGCACGGGGAGGCAUCAGCCGCGGGCGGCAACGCGGCGGGGAGGCACCGGGGCCACGGGCGGAACAGGGAGAGAGAAGAGGAUGGGGAGAGAGAAGGUGGGGGCCGGGCUGAAAGCGACGGGGGAGGGGGGAGAUGUGGCUGCAGGUGGGCCUUUGCAUGCAUAAACAAACCGCUGACGCUCUCAGAUGCCUCCCUGGGGCUGGGUUUCGGGUGA
rnacentral:rRNA from 1 species